rnacentral:rRNA from 1 species
UGCGUAGGCGGGUCUUUAAGUCAGGGGUGAAAUCCUGGAGCUCAACUCCAGAACUACCUUUGAUACUGAAGAUCUUGAGUUCGGGAGAGGUGAGUGGAACUGCGAGUGUAGAGGUGAAAUUCGUAGAUAUUCGCAAGAACACCAGUGGCGAAGGCGGCUCACUGGCCCGAUACUGACGCUGAGGUGCGAAAGCGUGGGGAGCAAACA